UCUGUGGUGGAUUAAGUGGUUAGAGCGUCCGUCUCGGAUGCGUGAGGUUACAGGUUCGAACUCCUGCCGAGUCAUACCAAAGAC